AACGAACGCUGGCGGCAGGCUUAACACAUGCAAGUCGAGCGCCCCGCAAGGGGAGCGGCAGACGGGUGAGUAACGCGUGGGAAUCUACCCAUCUCUACGGAAUAACGCAUGGAAACGUGUGCUAAUACCGUAUACGUCCUUCGGGAGAAAGAUUUAUCGGAGAUGGAUGAGCACGCGUUGGAUUAGCUAGUUGGUGGGGUAAAGGCCUACCAAGGCGACGAUCCAUAGCUGGUCUGAGAGGAUGAUCAGCCACACUGGGACUGAGACACGGCCCAGACUCCUACGGGAGGCAGCAGUGGGGAAUAUUGGACAAUGGGCGCAAGCCUGAUCCAGCCAUGCCGCGUGAGUGAUGAAGGCCCUAGGGUUGUAAAGCUCUUUCACCGGUGAAGAUAAUGACUGUAACCGGAGAAGAAGCCCCGGCUAACUUCGUGCCAGCAGCCGCCGUAAAAC
rnacentral:rRNA from 1 species